rnacentral:rRNA from 1 species
CGACCGCGUGAGUGAUGAAGGUUUUCGGAUCGUAAAACUCUGUGUUAGGGAAGAACAAGUACGAGAGUAACUACUCGUACCUUGACGGUACCUAACCAGAAAGCCACGGCUAACUACGUGCCAGCAGCCGCGGUAAUACGUAGGUGGCAAGCGCUGUCCGGAAUUAUUGGGCGUAAAGCGCGCGCAGGUGGUUUCUUAAGUCUGAUGUGAAAGCCCACGGCUCAACCGUGGAGGGUCAUUGGAAACUGGGGAACUUGAGUGCAGGAGAGAAGAGUGGAAUUCCACGUGUAGCGGUGAAAUGCGUAGAGAUGUGGAGGAACACCAGUGGCGAAGGCGACUCUUUGGCCUGUAACUGACACUGAGGCGCGAAAGCGUGGGGAGCAAACAGGAUUAGAUACCCUGGUAGUCCACGCCGUAAACGAUGAGUGCUAAGUGUUAGAGGGUUUCCGCCCUUUAGUGCUGCAGCAAACGCAUUAAGCACUCCGCCUGGGGAGUACGGCCGCAAGGCUG